CUGACUGCGCCGAGAAAAAGGGGUUCUCGACCGUGGCGAACGCGUUGCCCAGUGUUCUUCAACUAAGCUGGCUUCGACGUUACCUGCCGCUUUUAUCUCGCUAUUCUUGAGCUGGUUAUAGAGUCCAGGUGUCCAAAAAGUAGAAAGUGACGUCAAUUCCGGGACAUUCCAAACUGGGAUAAACGUGGACAACGUCAAGUGGUUGUUCCACAUCAUGAAAAUCUGUAACAACGAAAAUGGACAAAAAAGUUGUAAGAAAAAAAGGAAGGAGUUUAUUCAGAAAGAACUGAUCCAGACCGAAACGUCGGGUGAACGGCCCGUGUAAUUCGGUUCCGUACGAUCGAGUUCACUUCGACCCCUGAAUGGGACGACACAGCGCCAAAUCUCUCGCAAAAUCUCGUUAGGAAGGAAAGGGCCAAGGGAAUUUAAUCCUGUUGAAUUUUAGAGACUUUUCGCGAGCUGGAGACACCUUUGAACUACGCUGAACAAGGCAUCUUCAGCGAGAGUGUGUACAUUUCCAGCGAAAGUGCCUAGAGGCAAUAGAAAACAAGAAUGGAAACUUAAGUUGGCGCAGUGGGGGACGCUUCGCUAAUCAUUCCAAGCUGACACUUGUUAAGAGAACUUCAUCAGGUAAACAGGAAGAGAUGAUCGCAAGUAAGUAAGGAGAAAAUAAAUGCAAUAUCAUCGACGAUCCAGAUUUGUUAAUCGAUUUAUUUAAAGCUGAUUUGCUGACACCGCAGGAACACAUCGCCAAUAUUUAUUGUAGGAAAUAAUGUUCCUUGAUGAGGAAGAUUUAAUAUUCGAUUACUUUACAAUAUUUAUUUAUAUUAUUAAUAUACAUAUUACAAUAUAUAGUUAGAUUAUUACAAAGCCGUUUAAUCUCUACUUUAAACCCUGUUCAAAAACACGUUCUCCAAUUAAUAAAAUAUAUAGAAUUAACAUCCCAAUCUUAAUAACACUAAACGUGGAUAUUCAGAACUAUUUACUAAUUUAUGCGAACAAGAGUCGAAUAAUCUACUACAUUAUUCUUGAUAAUAUUUCCAUCGUAAACUGU